GGAAGGUCCGGGCGUUAUCCGGAUUUAUUGGGUUUAAAGGGAGCGUAGGCGGGUGCUUAAGUCAGUUGUGAAAGUUUGCGGCUCAACCGUAAAAUUGCAGUUGAUACUGGGCGCCUUGGGUGCAGCAUAGGUAGGCGGAAUUCGUGGUGUAGCGGUGAAAUGCUUAGAUAUCACGAAGAACUCCGAUUGCGAAGGCAGCUCACUGGAGCGCAACUGACGCUGAAGCUCGAAAGUGCGGGUAUCGAACAGGAUUAGAUACCCUGGUAGUCCGCACGGUAAACGAUGGAUGCCCGCUGUUGGUCUGAAUAGGUCAGCGGCCAAGCGAAAGCAUUAAGCAUCCCACCUGGGGAGU
rnacentral:rRNA from 1 species